rnacentral:rRNA from 1 species
GGCUCAGGACGAACGCUGGCGGCGUGCUAACACAUGCAAGUCGAGCGAUGAAGCUUCUUCGGAAGUGGAUUAGCGGCGGACGGGUGAGUAACACGUGGGUAACCUGCCUCAUAGAGGGGAAUAGCCUUCCGAAAGGAAGAUUAAUACCGCAUAAGAUUGUAAUAUCGCAUGAUAUAGCAAUUAAAGGAGUAAUCCGCUAUGAGAUGGACCCGCGUCGCAUUAGCUAGUUGGUGAGGUAACGGCUCACCAAGGCGACGAUGCGUAGCCGACCUGAGAGGGUGAUCGGCCACAUUGGGACUGAGACACGGCCCAGACUCCUACGGGAGGCAGCAGUGGGGAAUAUUGCACAAGUGGGGGAAACCCUGAUGCAGACCAACGCCGCGUGAGUGAUGACGGUCUUCGGAUUGUAAAGCUCUGUCUUCGAGGGACGAUAAUGACGGUACCUGAGGAGGAAGCCACGGCUAACUACGUGCCAGCCGCUGC